AAAAUAUAUAUAUAUUGUAUGACAUGUUAUACAUACACAACAGCGUAUAUGUGUGUAAAUAUACACACAUCAACAUUAUUCCAUGAACGUACACAAUUAUAUUGUUCAAUUUUAUUUCGGGUUUCACUCACCGCUUCGAUCUCGUUAUUCCAUUUCAUGGUGUGUUGAAUUCGGGCUUUCUUUGAAGGGAAGUAAGGUGGAAGAAGAUCAUUUCUUGGCAUGCAAGGCUAAAGGGGCGACGAAGCGAACGAGAUUACGAUUAACCUUUAACAGGUACAAAUAGUCGGUUUGGUGACCCUUCAGCAUAGGACUUCUACUCAGCUGUCUUGGAGAGCUCCGUUGUUCCAGAGUCUAGACUUUUGGUUCGAAUCUUAUGAUGUAUAUGUAUAUGUUUAUCCAGGGGUACGGCGGGGCCCUGUCCCGUCAUAUUUCGCUAUCGAUACUCUUAGAGGUUUGUAGACAUAUGUGUGGGUUGUGUAUAAGUUCUGUCCAGUUGUGUCUAUACGAUGUGCUACGGAUCUGUUUGUCUGUAAUGGCAGCCUUGUCGGCUUGCAUAUGAUAUGAUGUUCGUAUGUAGUGGCAGCCUUGUCGGCUUGCGUAUCAUUUUAUGAUUUGAUUAGUUGUGACUCCUCAGGAGACGGUUUAUCUGGAUAUACAUAUGUGAUGACGUUAUAAACCU